ACCUUGCGGGAUGAUGGCGUGAUUACGUAUCUUCUCGCUGGUCUUGACUUUGAUUAUGAUCCCUUUGUCACCUCGAUGACUACCAAGAGUGAAGCCCUCACGCUUGAUGAUGUGUUUGCACAUCUAAUGGCAUUUGAAA